rnacentral:rRNA from 1 species
UACGGGGGAGCAAGCGUUGUUCGGAUUUACUGGGCGUAAAGGGCGCGUAGGCGGCCACCGCAAGUCGACUGUGAAAUCUCUGGGCUUAACCCAGAACGGUCAGCCGAUACUGCGGGGCUAGAGUGCAGAAGGGGCAACUGGAAUUCUCGGUGUAGCGGUGAAAUGCGUAGAUAUCGAGAGGAACACCCUGCGGCGAAGGCGGGUUGCUGGGCUGACACUGACGCUGAGGCGCGAAAGCUAGGGGAGCGAACGGG